AGUGAACGCUGGCGGUAGGCCUAACACAUGCAAGUCGAACGGCAGCACAGUAAGAGCUUGCUCUUACGGGUGGCGAGUGGCGGACGGGUGAGGAAUACAUCGGAAUCUACUUUUUCGUGGGGGAUAACGUAGGGAAACUUACGCUAAUACCGCAUACGACCUACGGGUGAAAGCAGGGGAUCUUCGGACCUUUCGCGAUUGAAUGAGCCGAUGUCGGAUUAGCUAGUUGGCGGGGUAAAGGCCCACCAAGGCGACGAUCCGUAGCUGGUCUGAGAGGAUGAUCAGCCACACUGGAACUGAGACACGGUCCAGACUACUACGGGAGGCAGCAGUGGGGAAUAUUGGACAAAGGGCGCAAGCCUGAUCCAGCCAUACCGCGUGGGUGAAGAAGGCCUUCGGGUUGUAAAGCCCUUUUGUUGGGAAAGAAAAGCAGCAGGUUAAUACCCCGCUGUUCUGACGGUACCCAAAGAAUAAGCACCGGCUAACUUCGUG
rnacentral:rRNA from 1 species